ACCCAAGCUGAGAAUUAAUGCAAUGGGAGAGGUGAAGGGAACUCAGGACCUGCAAAGAUCAGGGGAUGUUGGUUAUGGACCCUACUCUAGGAAACCUCACCUAGUGCCCUAAUGCCUACAGGACCUUGCCUUAUCUCUACUUGGGAAUGUUGCUUUAAUGUCGCAGCACCAGAUCAUUUCAAUUCACAAUGGAAUUCUAUUUAGAUUGUAGCCCUGGGAGGUAAUUCGGUGGUGCGCCUGUCAAAUGACAAUUUAUUUUUGGCCACUUGCCAUAUUGUGUUUCCCAUGUGGAAGGAUUCCCAGGAAUCACUGCGGGGGCGGUUGGGGGGAAGGUUCUUGCUAAAAUGCAGAUUCUGAUUCAGUAGGUCUCGUGGGUCCUGAGCUUCUACAUAUCCAACAAGUUCUCAGGGGAUUCUGCUGGUUCACGGACCACACUUUGAGUAGCAAGGCUCUAAGAAGCUCCACCUCUAGUGCCUUGGAGCAGAGCAGGCUUACAAUCCUGCCUCUUGUGUGGGCCUGGGCCUGGGGUGGGGGACACACACACACACACACACACACACACACACACACACACACAACCUUAAUCCUCUUUUGGAUCUCCACAGCACUUUACAGUGUAAAAGCCGUUUUGCAUGCAUGACUCAGCAAAUCCUUACCAUGAAACUUCAAAGGACACUGGAGGAAACCAAAGUUCUGGGUCAGUUUGGGACCAACAUAGGAGCCAAUUGAAAUAUGUGAACCAUGAGAGAGGUCAGAGGAUAUAAGAAAUCGGUGACGACGAGAGGUUGGGAUACUUGCUCUUGGAACCCAGCUACCAUUCUGUAAAGAAGCCCAAGCAGCCCCAAGGAGAGGCCACGUGGAGAGGAAUUGGGUCCCUUGGCCAAUAGCCCUUGGCCAGUAGCCCUGGCUGAGUUCCUGAUCCGUACCUCCUUCGAUGGCACGAAACCACCUAAACCGUGAUGAAGGAGGAAGGAGAAGCUGAGGUGCCUGCAGGUUCACUCCCACAACAAGGUGUCUGUGGAAAACAGCCUUGAUGCAAGGAAAAGGGGAAAGAAUAGGAUAUAAAUGAACGAGCAUGCAAUUCUGAUCAUCAAAGGCAAUCAUCUUACAGCCUUGAAGGAAACUGGCCCUAUGUUAUGUAAGUCAGUUCAGAGAGAAUUAAAAAAAUGCUGAUCCUUGCUGACAUCAUAGAACUAUCACAUCAGCAACCAUGAUCCUACACUACUCCUGGGCUUUCAAUCAUGUGCUCUAAGCACAGGCUACGGACGCGCAGGCUCAGCGGCC